rnacentral:rRNA from 1 species
CCAAGAAUAUUCCGCAAUGGGCGAAAGCCUGACGGAGCGACGCCGCGCGGAUGAUGAAGGCCGUGAGGUUGUAAGGUCCUUUUGAACCUGACGAAUAACUGUGGGAGGGAAUGCCCGCAGGGUGACGGUAGGGUUUGAAUAAGCAACGGCUAAUUACGUGCCAGCAGCCGCGGUAACACGUAAGUUGCGAGCGUUGUUCGGAAUUAUUGGGCGUAAAGGGUAUGUAGGCGGUCAUGCAAGCUUGAUGUGAAAUCUAUGGGCUCAACCCGUGAGCGGCAUUGAGAACUAUAUGGCUUGAGUUACCGAGGGGAAACCGGAAUUCCAGGUGUAGGGGUGAAAUCUGUAGAUAUCUGGAAGAACACCGAUGGCGAAGGCAGGUUUCCAUUGGAUGACUGACGCUGAGGUACGAAGGUGCGGGGAGCAAACAGGGUUAGAUACCCUGGUAGUCCGCACAGUAAACGAUGCGCACUAGGUGUUUGCCUGAAAGGUGAGUGCCGCAGCUAACGUGGUAAGUGCGCCGCCUGGGGAGUAUGCCCGCAAGGGUGAAACUCAAAGGAAUUGACGGGGGCCCGCACAAGCGGUGGAGCGUGUGGUUUAAUUCGAUGGUACGCGAGGAACCUUACCUGGGCUUGACAUAUGGGGCAAUGCGGCAGAGAUGCCGGAGCGUAGCAAUACGGCCCCAUACAGGUGCUGCAUGGCUGUCGUCAGCUCGUGCCGUGAGGUGUUGGGUUAAGUCCCGCAACGAGCACAACCCCUACUGCCAGUUACUAACAGGUGAUGCUGAGGACUCUGGCGGAACUGCCGGUGACAAACCGGAGGAAGGUGGGGAUGACGUCAGGUCAUCAUGGCCCUUAUGUCCAGGGCUACACACGUGCUACAAUGGUCGGAACAGAGCGAAGCGGAGCAGCGAUGCGGAGCGAAGCGCAAAAAGCCGACCGUAGUUCGGAUCGGAGUCUGAAACCCGACUCCGUGAAGUUGGAAUCGCUAGUAAUCGCACAUCAGCACGGUGCGGUGAAUACGUUCCCGGGCCUUGUACACACCGCCCGUCACACCAUCCGAGUAGAGGGUACCCGAAGCCGGUAGUCUAACCCGUAAGGGGGGACGCUGUCGAAGGUAUGCUUUGUGAGGGGGGUG